rnacentral:rRNA from 1 species
CCUACGGGUGGCAGCAGUGGGGAAUAUUGGACAAUGGGCGAAAGCCUGAUCCAGCCAUGCCGCGUGUGUGAAGAAGGCCUUCGGGUUGUAAAGCACUUUCAGUGGGGAAGAAAGCCUUGGGGCUAAUACCCUCGAGGAAGGACAUCACCCACAGAAGAAGCACCGGCUAACUCCGUGCCAGCAGCCGCGGUAAUACGGAGGGUGCGAGCGUUAAUCGGAAUUACUGGGCGUAAAGCGCGCGUAGGCGGUCUGAUAAGCUGGUUGUGAAAGCCCCGGGCUCAACCUGGGAACGGCAUCCGGAACUGUCAGGCUAGAGUGCAGGAGAGGAAGGUAGAAUUCCCGGUGUAGCGGUGAAAUGCGUAGAGAUCGGGAGGAAUACCAGUGGCGAAGGCGGCCUUCUGGACUGACACUGACGCUGAGGUGCGAAAGCGUGGGUAGCAAACAGGAUUAGAUACCCCUGUAGUC